UACGUAGGUCCCGAGCGUUGUCCGGAUUUAUUGGGCGUAAAGCGAGCGCAGGUGGUUUAUUAAGUCUGGUGUAAAAGGCAGUGGCUCAACCAUUGUAUGCAUUGGAAACUGGUAGACUUGAGUGCAGGAGAGGAGAGUAGAAUUCCAUGUGUAGCGGUGAAAUGCGUAGAUAUAUGGAGGAACACCGGUGGCGAAAGCGGCUCUCUGGCCUGUAACUGACACUGAGGCUCGAAAGCGUAGGGAGCAAACAGG
rnacentral:rRNA from 1 species